CAGCAGCCGCGGUAAUACCGAGGGUGCGAGCGUUAAUCGGAUUUACUGGGCGUAAAGCGUGCGUAGGCGGCUUUUUAAGUCGGAUGUGAAAUCCCUGAGCUUAACUUAGGAAUUGCAUUCGAUACUGGGAAGCUAGAGUAUGGGAGAGGAUGGUAGAAUUCCAGGUGUAGCGGUGAAAUGCGUAGAGAUCUGGAGGAAUACCGAUGGCGAAGGCAGCCAUCUGGCCUAAUACUGACGCUGAGGUACGAAAGCAUGGGGAGCAAACAGGAUUAGAUACCCCUGUAGUCCCUGUCUCUUAUAC
rnacentral:rRNA from 1 species